CUGCUCACUCUGGCAGCACAUGCACUAAAAUUGGAACAACAGAGAGAAGAUUAGCAUAACCCCUGCACAAGGAUGACACAAAUUUCUGAAGUAUUCCAUAUUUUU